rnacentral:rRNA from 1 species
ACGCUGGCGGCGUGCCUAAUACAUGCAAGUAGAACGCUGAAAGAGGAGCUUGCUUCUCUGGAUGAGUUGCGAACGGGUGAGUAACGCGUAGGUAACCUGCCUGGUAGCGGGGGAUAACUAUUGGAAACGAUAGCUAAUACCGCAUAAGAGUAGAUGUUGCAUGACAUUUGCUUAAAAGGUGCAAUUGCAUCACUACCAGAUGGACCUGCGUUGUAUUAGCUAGUUGGUGGGGUAACGGCUCACCAAGGCGACGAUACAUAGCCGACCUGAGAGGGUGAUCGGCCACACUGGGACUGAGACACGGCCCAGACUCCUACAGGAGGCAGCAGCAGGGAAUCUUCGGCAAUGGACGGAAGUCUGACCGAGCAACGCCGCGUGAGUGAAGAAGGUUUUCGGAUCGUAAAGCUCUGUUGUAAGAGAAGAACGAGUGUGAGAGUGGAAAGUUCACACUGUGACGGUAUCUUACCAGAAAGGGACGGCUAACUACGUGCCAGCAGCCGCGGUAAUACGUAGGUCCCGAGCGUUGUCCGGAUUUAUUGGGCGUAAAGCGAGCGCAGGCGGUUAGAUAAGUCUGAAGUUAAAGGCUGUGGCUUAACCAUAGUACGCUUUGGAAACUGUUUAACUUGAGUGCAAGAGGGGAGAGUGGAAUUCCAUGUGUAGCGGUGAAAUGCGUAGAUAUAUGGAGGAACACCGGUGGCGAAAGCGGCUCUCUGGCUUGUAACUGACGCUGAGGCUCGAAAGCGUGGGGAGCAAACAGGAUUAGAUACCCUGGUAGUCCACGCCGUAAACGAUGAGUGCUAGGUGUUAGACCCUUUCCGGGGUUUAGUGCCGCAGCUAACGCAUUAAGCACUCCGCCUGGGGAGUACGACCGCAAGGUUGAAACUCAAAGGAAUUGACGGGGGCCCG